rnacentral:rRNA from 1 species
GACGAACCGUGCGAACGUUAUUCGGAAUCACUGGGCUUAAAAGCGCGUGGUAGGCGGGACGGCACGUCGGUCGCUGAAAGCCCCCGGCUCAACCGGGGAACGGGCGCGCAUACGACCGGCCUGGAGGGACGUAGGGGGACCGUGGAACGUUCCGGUGGAGCGGUGAAAUGCGUUGAGAGUCGGAAGGAACGCCCGUGGCGAAAGGCGGAAG